rnacentral:rRNA from 1 species
UACGUAGGGUGCAAGCGUUGUCCGGAAUUAUUGGGCGUAAAGGGCGCGUAGGCGGCAUCGCAAGUGGAAGGUGAAAUCCCUCGGCUUAACCGAGGAACUGCCCUCCAAACUGCGUUGCUUGAGGCCGGGAGAGGUGAGUGGAAUUCCCGAGUGUAGCGGUGAAAUGCGUAGAUAUCGAGAGGAACACCUGCGGCGAAGGCGGGUCUCUGGGCAGUAACUGACGCUGAGGAGCGAAAGCGUGGGGAGCGAACAGG